rnacentral:misc_RNA from 1 species
CCUAUCCCCUUCUCUUUUCUCUUUUCAUCUCUUCCGGUGCGAUUGGAUCUGAGGGACUUCUUUUACAAUUCCCAUUCUGUUCAUUCAAUCCGGAAGAGAAAUCUCCAAUUUCUACUCUUUACGCUUUUUGGAUCUAUACAAGAUUACCCAAUUUACCGCUUUCUUGUUUUUUCCUUUCUCGGUGAUUGUAGGAGUAGUUAGGGUUUGUAACCUGAAUUUUUGGAGGUUUUCUUUAGCAAUUUGGAUUUCUUUGGGAUUGGAGCAGUUAGGUUUUGUGGUUUGACUUUUGGUUUGAUCGAGAGAUUAGGGUUUUUCUAUCUUUUGGGUUGAUUGUUAUUCUUUGUUUGGAGGUUUUAGAUUGAAGUGGUAGCGUGGUGAGGUGGCUAAAGGAGGAAUUGUGAGUAGCCAAUGCCAUUUUUUU